CUACGGGGCGCAGCAGUUUCGAAUAAUCCACAAUGGGGGCAACCCUGAUGGUGCAAUGCCGCGUGGGGGAUGAAGGCCUUAGGGUCGUAAACCCCUGUCACCAAGGAACAAUAAUGUAGUUCAUAGCUACAGAUGAGUUAACUUGGAGAGGAAGCAGUGGCUAACUCCGUGCCAGCAGCCGCGGUAAUACGGAGACUGCGAGCGUUACUCGGAUUCACUGGGCGUAAAGGGUGCGUAGGUUGUAAGGUAUGUCAGGUGUGAAAUCCCGGGGCUCAACUCCGGAACUGCGCCUGAAACUACCUUACUUGAGUAUAGGAGGGGAUAGCGGAAUUUCUGGUGUAGCGGUGAAAUGCGCAGAUAUCAGAAGGAAUACCAAUGGCGAAGGCAGCUAUCUGGACUAAUACUGACACUGAGGCACGAAAGCGUGGGGAGCAAAAGGGAUUAGAUACCCGCGUAGUC
rnacentral:rRNA from 1 species